rnacentral:rRNA from 1 species
GAUGAACGCUAGCGGCAGGCCUAACACAUGCAAGUCGAGGGGUAACAGGGAAAAGCUUGCUUUUCCGCUGACGACCGGCGCACGGGUGCGUAACGCGUAUGCAACCUACCUUUUACAGGAGUAUAGCCCAGAGAAAUUUGGAUUAAUCCUCCAUAAUAUCCUUUUCGUGCAUAUGAAAAAGAUUAAAGCUUCGGUGGUAAAAGAUGGGCAUGCGUUUUAUUAGCUAGUAGGUGAGGUAACGGCUCACCUAGGCCACGAUAAAUAGGGGCCCUGAGAGGGGGAUCCCCCACACUGGUACUGAGACACGGACCAGACUCCUACGGGAGGCAGCAGUGAGGAAUAUUGGACAAUGGGCGCAAGCCUGAUCCAGCCAUGCCGCGUGCAGGAAGAAAGCCCUAUGGGUUGUAAACUGCUUUUAUUCACGAGGAAUAAAUCUCUUGCGAGGGAUUUUGACGUUAGUGUUUGAAUAAGCACCGGCUAACUCCGUGCCAGCCGCCGCCGUAACAC